AUGUGGAGGCUAUAUACAGGGUGUUACGGUACAGAGUCAAUGUGGAGGCUAUAUACAGGGUAUUACGGUACAGAGUCAAUGUGGAGGCUAUAUACAGGGUGUUACGGUACAGAGUCAAUGUGGAGGCUAUAUACAGGGUGUUACGGUACAGAGUCAAUGUGGAGGCUAUAUACAGGGGGUACCAGUACAGAGUCAAUGUGGAGGCUAUAUACAGGGUAUUACGGUACAGAGUCAGUGUGGAGGCUAUAUACAGGGGGUACCGGUACAGAGUCAAUGUGGAGGCUAUAUACAGUGUGUACCGGUACAGAGUCAAUGUGGAGGCUAUAUACAGGGGGUACCAGUACAGAGUCAAUGUGGAGGCUAUAUACAGGGUAUUACGGUACAGAGUCAGUGUGGAGGCUAUAUACAGGGGGUACCGGUACAGAGUCAAUGUGGAGGCUAUAUACAGUGUGUUACGGUACAGAGUCAAUGUGGAGGCUAUAUACAGGGUAUUACGGUACAGAGUCAGUGUGGAGGCUAUAUACAGGGGGUACCGGUACAGAGUCAAUGUGGAGGCUAUAUACAGUGUGUUACGGUACAGAGUCAAUGUGGAGGCUAUAUACAGAGGGUACCGGUACAGAGUCAAUGUGGAGGCUAUAUACAGGGGGUACCGGUACAGAGUCAGUGUGGAGGCUAUAUACGGGGUGUUACGGUACAGAGUCAAUGUGGAGGCUAUAUACAGGGGGUACCAGUACAGAGUCAAUGUGGAGGCUAUAUACAGGGUAUUACGGUACAGAGUCAGUGUGGAGGCUAUAUACAGGGGGUACCCGUACAGAGUCAAUGUGGAGGCUAUAUACAGGGGGUACCAGUACAGAGUCAGUGUGGAGGCUAUAUACAGGGGGUACCAGUACAGAGUCAAUGUGGAGGCUAUAUACAGGGGGUACUGGUACAGAGUCUAUAUACAGUGUGUUACGGUACAGAGUCAAUGUGGAGGCUAUAUACAGGGUAUUACGGUACAGAGUCAGUGUGGAGGCUAUAUACAGGGGGUACCGGUACAGAGUCAAUGUGGAGGCUAUAUACAGUGUGUUACGGUACAGAGUCAAUGUGGAGGCUAUAUACAGAGGGUACCGGUACAGAGUCAAUGUGGAGGCUAUAUACAGGGGGUACCGGUACAGAGUCAGUGUGGAGGCUAUAUACAGGGGGUACCAGUACAGAGUCAGUGUGGAGGCUAUAUACAAGGGGUACCAGUACAGAGUCAAUGUGGAGGCUAUAUACAGGGGGUACCAGUACAGAGUCAAUGUGGAGGCUAUAUACAGAGGGUACCGGUACAGAGUCAAUGUGGAGGCUAUAUACAGGGGGUACCGGUACAGAGUCAGUGUGGAGGCUAUAUACGGGGUGUUACGGUACAGAGUCAAUGUGGAGGCUAUAUACAGGGGGUACCAGUACAGAGUCAAUGUGGAGGCUAUAUACAGGGUAUUACGGUACAGAGUCAGUGUGGAGGCUAUAUACAGGGGGUACCCGUACAGAGUCAAUGUGGAGGCUAUAUACAGGGGGUACCAGUACAGAGUCAGUGUGGAGGCUAUAUACAGGGGGUACCAGUACAGAGUCAAUGUGGAGGCUAUAUACAGGGGGUACCAGUACAGAGUCAAUGUGGAGGCUAUAUACAGGGGGUACCGGUACAGAGUCAAUGUGGAGGCUAUAUACAGGGGGUACCAGUACAGAGUCAAUGUGGAGGCUAUAUACAGGGGGUACCAGUACAGAGUCAAUGUGGAGGCUAUAUACAGGGGGUACCGGUACAGAGUCAAUGUGGAGGCUAUAUACAGUGUGUUACGGUACAGAGUCAAUGUGGAGGCUAUAUACAGGGUAUUACGGUACAGAGUCAGUGUGGAGGCUAUAUACAGGGGGUACCGGUACAGAGUCAAUGUGGAGGCUAUAUACAGUGUGUUACGGUACAGAGUCAAUGUGGAGGCUAUAUACAGAGGGUACCGGUACAGAGUCAAUGUGGAGGCUAUAUACAGGGGGUACCGGUACAGAGUCAGUGUGGAGGCUAUAUACAGGGGGUACCAGUACAGAGUCAGUGUGGAGGCUAUAUACAAGGGGUACCAGUACAGAGUCAAUGUGGAGGCUAUAUACAGGGGGUACCAGUACAGAGUCAAUGUGGAGGCUAUAUACAGGGGGUACCGGUACAGAGUCAAUGUGGAGGCUAUAUACAGGGUGUUACGGUACAGAGUCAAUGUGGAGGCUAUAUACAGGGGGUACCGGUACAGAGUCAAUGUGGAGGCUAUAUACAGAGGGUACCGGUACAGAGUCAAUGUGGAGGCUAUAUACAGGGGGUACCAGUACAGAGUCAAUGUGGAGGCUAUAUACAGGGGGUACCGGUACAGAGUCAAUGUGGAGGCUAUAUACAGGGUGUACCGGUACAGAGUCAAUGUGGAGGCUAUAUACAGGGGGUACCAGUACAGAGUCAAUGUGGAGGCUAUAUACAGGGGGUACUGGUACAGAGUCAAUGUGGAGGCUAUAUACAGGGGGUACUGGUACAGAGUCAAUGUGGAGGCUAUAUACAGGGGGUACUGGUACAGAGUCAAUGUGGAGGCUAUAUACAGGGUGUUACGGUACAGAGUCAAUGUGGAGGCUAUAUACAGGGGUACUGGUACAGAGUCAAUGUGGAGGCUAUAUACAGGGGGUACUGGUACAGAGUCAAUGUGGAGGCUAUAUACAGGGUAUUACGGUACAGAGUCAAUGUGGAGGCUAUAUACAGGGGGUACCGGUACAGAGUCAAUGUGGAGGCUAUAUACAGGGGGUACCGGUACAGAGUCAAUGUGGAGGCCAUAUACAGGGUGUACCGGUACAGAGUCAAUGUGGAGGCUAUAUACAGGGGUACCAGUACAGAGUCAAUGUGGAGGCUAUAUACAGGGGGUACCAGUACAGAGUCAAUGUGGAGGCUAUAUACAGGGGGUACCAGUACAGAGUCAAUGUGGAGGCUAUAUACAGGGGGUACCAGUACAGAGUCAAUGUGGAGGCUAUAUACAGGGGGUACCAGUACAGAGUCAAUGUGGAGGCUAUAUACAGGGGGUACCGGUACAGAGUCAAUGUGGAGGCUAUAUACAGGGGGUACUGGUACAGAGUCAAUGUGGAGGCUAUAUACAGGGGGUACCAGUACAGAGUCAAUGUGGAGGCUAUAUACAGGGGGUACCAGUACAGAGUCAAUGUGGAGGCUAUAUACAGGGGGUACCAGUACAGAGUCAAUGUGGAGGCUAUAUACAGGGGGUACCAGUACAGAGUCAAUGUGGAGGCUAUAUACAGGGGGUACCCGUACAGAGUCAAUGUGGAGGCUAUAUACAGGGGGUACCAGUACAGAGUCAAUGUGGAGGCUAUAUACAGGGGGUACCAGUACAGAGUCAAUGUGGAGGCUAUAUACAGGGGGUACCAGUACAGAGUCAAUGUGGAGGCUAUAUACAGGGGGUACCAGUACAGAGUCAAUGUGGAGGCUAUAUACAGGGGGUACCAGUACAGAGUCAAUGUGGAGGCUAUAUACAGGGGGUACCAGUACAGAGUCAAUGUGGAGGCUAUAUACAGGGGGUACCAGUACAGAGUCAAUGUGGAGGCUAUAUACAGGGGGUACCAGUCCAGAGUCAAUGUGGAGGCUAUAUACAGGGGGUACCAGUACAGAGUCAGUGUGGAGGCUAUAUACAGGGGGUACCAGUACAGAGUCAAUAUGGAGGAUAUAUACAGGGGCUACCAGUACAGAGUCAGUGUGGAGGCUAUAUACAGGGAGUACCGGUACAGAGUCAAUGUGGAGGCUAUAUACAGGGGGUACCGGUACAGAGUCAGUGUGGAGGCUAUAUACAGGGGUUACCAGUACAGAGUCAGUGUGGAGGCUAUAUACAGGGGGUACCAGUACAGAGUCAGUGUGGAGGCUAUAUACAGGGGGUACCAGUACAGAGUCAAUGUGGAGGCUAUAUACAGGGGGUACCAGUACAGAGUCAAUGUGGAGGCUAUAUACAGGGGGUACCAGUACAGAGUCAAUGUGGAGGCUAUAUACAGGGGGUACCAGUACAGAGUCAAUGUGGAGGCUAUAUACAGGGUGUACCAGUACAGAGUCAAUGUGGAGGCUAUAUACAGGGGGUACCAGUACAGAGUCAAUUUGGAGGCUAUAUACAGGGGGUACCAGUACAGAGUCAAUGUGGAGGCUAUAUACAGGGUGUACCAGUACAGAGUCAAUGUGGAGGCUAUAUACAGGGGGUACCAGUACAGAGUCAAUGUGGAGGCUAUAUACAGGGGGUACCGGUACAGAGUCAAUGUGGAGGCUAUAUACAGGGGGUACCGGUACAGAGUCAAUGUGGAGGCUAUAUACAGGGGGUACCGGUACAGAGUCAAUGUGGAGGCUAUAUACAGGGGGUACUGGUACAGAGUCAAUGUGGAGGCUAUAUACAGGGGGUACUGGUACAGAGUCAAUGUGGAGGCUAUAUACAGGGGGUACUGGUACAGAGUCAAUGUGGAGGCUAUAUACAGGGGGUACUGGUACAGAGUCAAUGUGGAGGCUAUAUACAGGGUGUUACGGUACAGAGUCAAUGUGGAGGCUAUAUACAGGGGGUACUGGUACAGAGUCAAUGUGGAGGCUAUAUACAGGGGGUACUGGUACAGAGUCAAUGUGGAGGCUAUAUACAGGGUAUUACGGUACAGAGUCAAUGUGGAGGCUAUAUACAGGGGGUACCGGUACAGAGUCAAUGUGGAGGCUAUAUACAGGGGGUACCGGUACAGAGUCAAUGUGGAGGCCAUAUACAGGGUGUACCGGUACAGAGUCAAUGUGGAGGCUAUAUACAGGGGUACCAGUACAGAGUCAAUGUGGAGGCUAUAUACAGGGGGUACCAGUACAGAGUCAAUGUGGAGGCUAUAUACAGGGGGUACCAGUACAGAGUCAAUGUGGAGGCUGUAUACAGGGGGUACCAGUACAGAGUCAAUGUGGAGGCUAUAUACAGGGGGUACCAGUACAGAGUCAAUGUGGAGGCUAUAUACAGGGGGUACCAGUACAGAGUCAAUGUGGAGGCUAUAUACAGGGGGUACCGGUACAGAGUCAAUGUGGAGGCUAUAUACAGGGGGUACUGGUACAGAGUCAAUGUGGAGGCUAUAUACAGGGGGUACCAGUACAGAGUCAAUGUGGAGGCUAUAUACAGGGGGUACCAGUACAGAGUCAAUGUGGAGGCUAUAUACAGGGGGUACCAGUACAGUGUCAAUGUGGAGGCUAUAUACAGGGGGUACCAGUACAGAGUCAAUGUGGAGGCUAUAUACAGGGGGUACCCGUACAGAGUCAAUGUGGAGGCUAUAUACAGGGGGUACCAGUACAGAGUCAAUGUGGAGGCUAUAUACAGGGGGUACCAGUACAGAGUCAAUGUGGAGGCUAUAUACAGGGGGUACCAGUACAGAGUCAAUGUGGAGGCUAUAUACAGGGUGUACCAGUACAGAGUCAAUGUGGAGGCUAUAUACAGGGGGUACCAGUACAGAGUCAAUGUGGAGGCUAUAUACAGGGGGUACCAGUACAGAGUCAAUGUGGAGGCUAUAUACAGGGGGUACCAGUACAGAGUCAAUGUGGAGGCUAUAUACAGGGGGUACCAGUACAGAGUCAAUGUGGAGGCUAUAUACAGGGGGUACCAGUCCAGAGUCAAUGUGGAGGCUAUAUACAGGGGGUACCAGUACAGAGUCAGUGUGGAGGCUAUAUACAGGGGGUACCAGUACAGAGUCAGUGUGGAGGCUAUAUACAGGGGGUACCAGUACAGAGUCAAUAUGGAGGAUAUAUACAGGGGCUACCAGCACAGAGUCAGUGUGGAGGCUAUAUACAGGGAGUACCGGUACAGAGUCAAUGUGGAGGCUAUAUACAGGGGGUACCGGUACAGAGUCAGUGUGGAGGCUAUAUACAGGGGGUACCAGUACAGAGUCAGUGUGGAGGCUAUAUACAGGGGGUACCAGUACAGAGUCAGUGUGGAGGCUAUAUACAGGGGGUACCAGUACAGAGUCAAUGUGGAGGCUAUAUACAGGGGGUACCAGUACAGAGUCAAUGUGGAGGCUAUAUACAGGGGGUACCAGUACAGAGUCAAUGUGGAGGCUAUAUACAGGGGGUACCAGUACAGAGUCAAUGUGGAGGCUAUAUACAGGGGGUACCAGUACAGAGUCAAUGUGGAGGCUAUAUACAGGGGGUACCAGUACAGAGUCAAUGUGGAGGCUAUAUACAGGGGGUACCAGUACAGAGUCAAUGUGGAGGCUAUAUACAGGGGGUACCGGUACAGAGUCAAUGUGGAGGCUAUAUACAGGGGGUACCAGUACAGAGUCAAUGUGGAGGCUAUAUACAGGGGGUACCGGUACAGAGUCAAUGUGGAGGCUAUAUACAGGGGGUACCAGUACAGAGUCAAUGUGGAGGCUAUAUACAGGGGGUACCGGUACAGAGUCAAUGUGGAGGCUAUAUACAGGGUGUACCAGUACAGAGUCAAUGUGGAGGCUAUAUACAGGGGGUACAAGUACAGAGUCAAUUUGGAGGCUAUAUACAGGGGGUACCAGUACAGAGUCAAUGUGGAGGCUAUAUACAGGGUGUACCAGUACAGAGUCAAUGUGGAGGCUAUAUACAGGGGGUACCAGUACAGAGUCAAUGUGGAGGCUAUAUACAGGGGGUACCGGUACAGAGUCAAUGUGGAGGCUAUAUACAGGGGGUAUCAGUACAGAGUCAAUGUGGAGGCUAUAUACAGGGUGUUACGGUACAGAGUCAAUGUGGAAGCUAUAUACAGGGGUACCAGUACAGAGUCAAUAUGGAGGCUAUAUACAGGGGGUACCAGUACAGAGUCAAUGUGGAAGCUAUAUACAGGGGGUUAA
rnacentral:lncRNA from 1 species